CAGCCUAGAGAAUAGAAGGCUCCAGGGAGACCAUAUAGCAGCCUUCCAGUAAGCUCCAGUAAGGGGGCCUAUAGGAAAGCUGGAGAGGGACUCUAUCAGGGAGUGUUGUGGUAAGUCAAGGGGCAAUGGCUUUAAACUGAAAGAAGGUAGAUGUAGAUUGGAUGUAAACAAGAAAUUCUUCAUUGUCAGGGUGGUGAGGCACUGGCACAGGCUGCCCAGAAAAAGUGUUGCUGCCUCAUCCCUAUAGGGGUUCAAGGCAAGGUUGGAUGGAGCUUUGAGCAAUGUAGUCAACGCAACUCAAAGGCUGAGGGAUUGGAACUAGGUGAUCUUUAAGGUCUCUUCCAACCCAAAUCAUUCUAUGAUUCUACAUUCUAUGGUAAUACGUAAGAAAAUCUGUCUUACUGAGGCCAGUCAAAUCACUGAGAGCUGAGGGUAUUUUAGUGAACUGUGGUCUGAGUCAAAUCCCGAUAAUGCUCUCAAGAAAUAAAAUCAGAUCAACUUUCUCAGUUAAUUUUAGACAAAUAGUAUCUCAUAGUUGAUAAAUGGUUUGUACCUUUAUGCCUUGUCCUGGGGAGGAAAACUUAAAUAUUGAUAAAGCUUGUUCUUGUAUCUGGAUAUCUUACAAGUUGUUUUCCUCCUAGAAAGGAUUUGAACUCCCUGCAGAGCCAGGCCCUCAUCAUUUGGCAUUCACCUCUGUCAUUUCAAGUUGUUGAUGUAGGUCCUAUACCAGUGAGCACUCAAGCACAUACUGUGUUUAUAAGCUCUUCCAAAAGAAACACCUGGAAGAACAUUCACUUAUGGGUCUGCCAGUUUUUGUGGAGGGUCGCUGCUUGAAGCACUGUAACCUUAGAGUAACCAUUCUUAGUAAAUGUAGCAAUGUUACAAACAACGCAUUUUUUCUCCUAUUGAGACAGACCACAACUGAAAUCCUGCAAAACAUACUUUCUCUACUUCUAUUUGAGAAAUCUUCAAAAUAAUUGGCCUGAGUUUAGAUUCAUUUAAGCAGACCUUCGUGCUUAUUGAAGACAUGGACUUCACAGCAGCGUAACAGCCACAGAGCCUACAGUAAUCAGCACUUUUAUGUCCCUAGAAAGAAUGUGAUUCUUCAUUAUUAUUCUACCACAGUGGCAGUGGGGAUGUGUUUCAAGCAGGGCACAGCUGCAUGAAGUCUCAUAAAAUUCAUAGUAAGACAUAGACCGUUCCACAGAGAGCUUGCAGCACGUAGUGUUAAAAUGAGAUUAAGCUUGUAACAGCACAUCUGGUGUCCUCACAAUGAUGAGAGCAUAUCUGUUUUCUCUCAAAAAUAUGCCAAACUUACCCUCCACCAUACUAUGGCCAGCUCCUUAAAAAAAAUCAACAACAUAAUAAAACCUCCAGUAAGUAAAUGAGUGUGUCAAAUCUUAAAAAGGAAGGCUGAAUGCAGUAAGUACUUUGCUCCCUCACCUUUCAACUCACCUGAAACACUAGCUUUCAGCCUGUUUUGAGCACUCUUCUGCACCUGCUAGUCAGCAAUUGCACCCAGCUGUUUCCUUUGGCUGUGUCUGGGAUUCCCACACUCAGCAGCAUGGGAAGGUCCCAGAACAACUAGGGUGUAGCUGCAAACAAGUUCCUGACCUCUGUAAAAAGUUUAUGUUAUUUACAAGAAACCAAGGAGGCUUUCACUCACAGUGCUCCUUAGGUUCAGGGAAUGUGGGGCUGCCCUUUUCAUCCUUGGAAGCAGUUGGUACUCUUGCUGAAUCUAAUUCACCUGGCUGUUUUCCAAACCUCUGCUCCGUGAGCUGUUCUGCUUGGGCAGGUACUGCUGUCUCACAGAAAUUGUUAAACAGCCAGAAAUAUUGCUGUCCCCCAAGUGGACAGACACCUCUCACAGACCUUUCCAGAGCGUUGUUUCUCAGGUAUUCUCACCCUGCUUCUGUUUUUCCUUUCCCUCCAGUGCUGUUUCAGGCCCAACCCUGCAUAUAUAUAUGCAGGUGUUUUUUUAUGGAGCAAUCACACUGCCUCCAGUGAGAAUAUUCACAUGACCAAAACCAUGCACUUGCAUAGGGAUUUCCUGAAUCGAGGGCAUAAAGGGAAAUGGCCAGGUUAAUAACGGGUUGGUUUUAUCCCUGAUGUAAUGCCAUUGACACCAGUGGAAUUAUACAGGGCUGAAAUAGUUCCAGUAUAUCCAAACAGGGAACUACCUCUGGCUCCCUCACCUGCCACUUUCUGUAUUGAUGGUGUAACCAAAGUCAGUCCUCCUUUCUCCAGGUUUGGGCAACUGAGACUGAGGGAAUUCAGAUCACUUUGCACCAGCAAGAGCUGCUCUCCUCCAGCAUGGCAUCUCCUGAGAUAUCAGGUGUGCUUGCCCUGCAGAGCUAUUAGAGAUAUGCCUGUGGAGCUUCACCCACACGUCCUCGUUGCCACACUGAAGCAGCUCUCACCUGUCCUGCCACUUCCCUGCUCCUAGCUGAGGCUGAGCCGUUCUGUGCCCUUAGCAGGAGCUGCUGGUCUUGGGGCAAGAGCCCUGCUUUUCUCAGUUGGUGUCUGGUUUGUUCCACUAUGUGCUCUCCUUCAGCAGUGCUUCUUUGGGUAGUAAGUGCUCCAGUUGAAUAUUCACGCUUGAAAACAGCUUGUGUGUAAACAUGAAGAUUAUAUAUCUAUAUAAAAGAUUUUUAUUGAAAAAUAAAAGAAGAAGACCCUGUUAAAAAUGCUCCUCUCUCCCUUCUGUGGCUGUCCUGCCCUUUGUAUGUGGCAUGUUUGGGACCCUCCAACCCUCAUUACUGUGAAGCUCUGAUUUGGCAGCUCUGUGAACUUGCCCUCAGCUAGACUUCAGUGUGGUUCAGCAUGGUUUCUUCUGGUCUACAAAAGCAUGUUCCCUACCUGCCUGCUCACGCAAAUACUCCCUAACAUGGGAUGGACCUCCAAAUGUCAAAAACUGUGAAGCCAGGAGAGGGAGGAAUAGGAGAAAAAACACUAAAACACCCUCCAGCAUCCAGGGCUCAUGACUGCUUUGACAAGAUCUAUCUUUAGUUAUAAUAGUGAGUCACAUCAUUGUGAUUUGACUUUACGGUUAGUUUGAGGUAUGAGCCAGGCCAUGGGAUUGAGAGCAAGAGCAUCACGGGAUGCAGCUGUAAAAUUCCACUACUCUGUAAAUCAGGUUUGAAGAGCAUUAAGAAACAGGAAGCAGGCAGGGGAGGGUGGGUUUUUGUGUGUGGGGUUUUUUUUGUUGUUGUUGUUGUUUCUUUUUUUCAGCGGAAAAUGAUCGCAGUGCCUGCUGCAUUGCAAUGUCGUUGAGCAGCACAGGGAGCGGAACGGAAGGCAUGUAUCGGUAGGCUGCUGUAAUAUUCCUGAGCUGAGCACUCCUCUUUCCACGCUGCCUCCGUGUGCCAAGUGUCACGUCCAGCCCGCCCCACCAGCCACCACGAGCUGAUGCAGGAUUUUCGUGGAUGGUGCCGUGUUGCUUAGCAACCUUGCUAGGCAGCAUGCUAUACAUCACGCACGGCGCCGGCUACUACGAGUUGAAUUGUGCUGGUUGGACACCAGUGACUGAUGGAGGGAUGCUGGACCCAGCCCAUACCUAGGACAGCGAGCGUGCCAUGCCUGGUUCCUACCAACACUAGGACUUCAGCAGUAGGAAGAAUAAGCUUUUAAUUAACCAUCAUCUGCUACCUUGUUAAUGGAACACCCUCCUCAUCUAGGUGAUGACCACUGAAUAAUGUUUGAGAUACCUGCCUGCUGGGUGGCAAACAUGACAGAAAUGUUUCUAGGAAGCCUCCUUGUGAAGGACUGGAACCAUGUACACAAAGUAUAAUGCAGAAGUCAUGAACUAAGUAAUGAAGUUGAAAAGAAGAAGACCGGUUCUUAAACUCGGUGCACUGAGUGCUUAAUGUGUUAGAUGUUCUUAAUUGAAAGAAUAUCUGACCUUGCAAUAAAAUGAUGUAAUAAAGUGAAUGCACUGAAAGGAUAAUUAAGCCUAUUCAGAACAUCAUGAUCAUCUCAUCAAACUUCCUGCAAAAUUCAGACCACCAGUCCUUAGUCUGCAAUUCAUAUCUCUAACCUUGAACUAAUCUUUGGGCUAUAAUAUGUGUGAUUGCUGAGAUGGUAUUAAUUUGGUGUUUAAACAUUGCUUGCAUUUUGGCUUGCACUGUUGAUGUGAUGUUACAGUGUAGACACCCAGGUUUGCCUAUCAAAAUAUGCACAAAGGCUUUGUGUGAAAAGUUUUAUUUUAAAUGUUGCUGAAGAAGUCUCGCCUCACAUUUAUGCUUAUUUUUGUUCAUAUCUACUUCUAUUUAUAUAUAUUUUAUAUUUUAUUUAAAUAUUU